rnacentral:rRNA from 1 species
UACGAAGGGGGCUAGCGUUGCUCGGAAUCACUGGGCGUAAAGGGUGCGUAGGCGGAUUUGUAAGUCAGGGGUGAAAUCCCGGGGCUCAACCUCGGAACUGCCUUUGAUACUGCGAAUCUUGAGUCCGAUAGAGGUGGGUGGAAUUCCUAGUGUAGAGGUGAAAUUCGUAGAUAUUAGGAAGAACACCAGUGGCGAAGGCGGCCCACUGGAUCGGUACUGACGCUGAGGUGCGAAAGCGUGGGGAGCAAACAGG